GGUGUGUGUGUAACAGUGGGGGGGGGGGAGGAACACGGAACCAGGCAUACUGAAGAGGCCCCCUAAAAUUCUCAACACGAGUCUCCCACGCCUCUCCACCCCGCUUAGGAUCAAACCUUCGGGGUACCCGUUAUGUAUUAAAGGCUCCAAGAGCGCACAGCUACUGAGACUCUCAGGCCCGCUCGGA